rnacentral:rRNA from 1 species
UACGAAGGGGGCUAGCGUUGUUCGGAAUCACUGGGCGUAAAGGGCGCGUAGGCGGCUAGAUAAGUCGGGGGUGAAAGCCUGUGGCUCGACCACAGAAUUGCCUUCGAUACUGUCUGGCUUGAGACCGGAAGAGGUUAGUGGAACUGCGAGUGUAGAGGUGAAAUUCGUAGAUAUUCGCAAGAACACCAGUGGCGAAGGCGGCUGACUGGUCCGGUUCUGACGCUGAGGCGCGAAAGCGUGGGGAGCAAACAGG